AAAAACCACAUCAAAGUUGUAUUUCUAAAAAUCGAUUAAUCGCGGUCGAACUAAUGUUAUUUAAAAUGAAUAAAAAUAAAAAAUUAAACAUUGAAGAUGCUCUAGCAUACAUUCUAGAUGGUGAAAGUGAUUUUGAGGAUCUGAGUGAGUCAGACUCUGAUUUUGAACCUGAUCUUUCGACUGCUGUUGUAAGCAGUACUAAAAUUGUGCAUGAUAACAACAAUGCCAAUAUACCUUUACCCAUUUCGGAGUCUCUUACCCAAGAAAGCAGUACAGACGAUGAUAUGCUUUGUUUCAACUCCUCACCUCCACCCAAAAAAUUAAAAAUAAUAAAAAUAAAAAGAGUUUAAGAGUUUUGCCACUUUGGAAAAAAGUUCCACUUGAUAAUGACUUGAUUGGUGAUAUUACUUUUCAAGAAGUACCUAUUGAACCUAUUCCAGAUGAAACUACCACUCCAUACGAAUAUUUUAAAAUGUUUGUUGAUGACAAUCUUAUCGACAUUCUUGCUGAACAAUCUAGUUUAUAUAGUUGCCAGUCAUCAGGUACAAGCAUUUGUGUCACAUCCAAUGAAAUAGAAUCGUUUAUUGGUGUUUAUUUUUGUAUGGGUCUUGUGAAACUACCAUCAGUGAGAUCUUAUUGGGAAACCUUUAUGAAUUAUGAUGGAGUAAGCUCAGUAUUAUCAAGGAAUAGAUUUCUUUCUAUUCUUCGCUAUUUACACUUUGUUGACAAUUUAAAAGUAACAGAUGAAGUAAAGAAAAAUGAUCGGGCCUGGAAAUUAAGACCUUGGUUGGAAAAACAAAUAUAUUAUGGUAAAGCAACCUUACAUAGUCCAGUUUUGUAAUAAAAAUAUGGGUGGAGUUGACAAACUGGAUAUGAUGUGCUCAUUCUACAAAUCAAAUUUGAAAUGCCAUAGAUGGUAUGUAUAUAUAUGGGCACAUACCCUUCUUAUUGCGUUAUCAAAUGCAUGGUUUUUGUAUCGUCGGGACUUAAAAAUUAUUUGCCCCACUAAAAAAUUCAUGCCUCUAAAAAAGUUUCAAGCUGCAGUAGCUUCUAGCCUGAUAGCUGUUGUAAAAAGUAAAGCUGGAAGACCAUCACUUGAUGCAAUACCUCUACCAACCAAAAGACCUGCUGCUGUUCAGAGUAAUCCUACAAAGGAUAUCCGGUUAGACGGAUUUGAUCACUUACCAACUUAUAGUGACAAACGUCAGCGAUGUAAGAAAUGCAAAACCGGUUUUUCCUAUAUCUGUUGCAAGAAGUGCAAUGUUUGGCUAUGCUUAAUUAAAGACAGAAAUUGCUUUCAUGACUACCAUUAAUGGCAUUUAAGAUUUGUUUUUAUAACUUAUAUUUAUAUUAUAAACGAUUGUUUACUGUAAAUGUAUAUUUAUGCUGAAAAUGUUUUUUAUUUGUAUAGAAGAGAGUUAGUCAGUUCAAAACAUAAGUAAAAGUU